rnacentral:rRNA from 1 species
GACGAACGCUGGCGGCGUGCUUAACACAUGCAAGUCGAACGGAAAGGCCCUGCUUUUGUGGGGUGCUCGAGUGGCGAACGGGUGAGUAACACGUGAGUAACCUGCCCUUGACUUUGGGAUAACUUCAGGAAACUGGGGCUAAUACCGGAUAGGAGCUCCUGCUGCAUGGUGGGGGUUGGAAAGUUUCGGCGGUUGGGGAUUGACUCGCGGCUUAUCAGCUUGUUGGUGGGGUAGUGGCUUACCAAGGCUUUGACGGGUAGCCGGCCUGAGAGGGUGACCGGCCACAUUGGGACUGAGAUACGGCCCAGACUCCUACGGGAGGCAGCAGUGGGGAAUAUUGCACAAUGGGCGGAAGCCUGAUGCAGCAACGCCGCGUGCGGGAUGACGGCCUUCGGGUUGUAAACCGCUUUCGCCUGUGACGAAACGUGAGUGACGGUAAUGGGUAAAGGAGCACCGGCUAACUACGU